rnacentral:rRNA from 1 species
CAGUCGCCACGGGAAUACGUAGGGUGCAAGCGUUAAUCGGAAUUACUGGGCGUAAAGCGUGCGCAGGCGGUUUUGUAAGACAGAGGUGAAAUCCCCGGGCUCAACCUGGGAACUGCCUUUGUGACUGCAAGGCUAGAGUACGGCAGAGGGGGAUGGAAUUCCGCGUGUAGCAGUGAAAUGCGUAGAUAUGCGGAGGAACACCGAUGGCGAAGGCAAUCCCCUGGGCCUGUACUGACGCUCAUGCACGAAAGCGUGGGGAGCAAACAGGAUUAGAUACCCCAGUAGUCCCUGUCUCUUAUAA